rnacentral:pre_miRNA from 1 species
ACACUGUUCACCUGGGGGUCUUGUUAAGACGCAGGUCUGGGGUGGACCAGAUGCUGCACUUCUAACAAUUCCCUGGGUGAGAUCGAU